rnacentral:rRNA from 1 species
GACGUAGGGCGCGAGCGUUGUCCGGAUUAUUGGGCGUAAAGAGCUCGUAGGCGGCUUGUCGCGUCGAAUGUGAAAACCCACGGCUCAACUGUGGGCUUGCAUUCGAUACGGGCAGGCUAGAGUUCGGUAGGGGAGACUGGAAUUCCUGGUGUAGCGGUGAAAUGCGCAGAUAUCAGGAGGAACACCCGGUGGCGAAGGCGG